AUGGAAAGUCUAUACCUCUACUUAUCAUAUUUGGCACUUUUGUUUGAGUGGUUCUUGACCUUACGUGUUUUGCGGACGGAUUGUUAUGGCUGCUUGGCAUUUCACAUUGCGCUUCUAAGGUACGUUAAGGAAUUUUUUAUGAGUUAAAAUAACAAA